rnacentral:rRNA from 1 species
UGUAAGCGUAUACCAAAGUUGUUGCAGUUAAAACGCUCGUAGUCGGACUUUGGCAGUUCCGGAUGUGUGCACGUCGUGUGCGCACUUCGCGGGGAUUGCUUUUGUGGUCUUGCGUAGGAUGAGGCACUUUUAUUAGUGAACGUCCUCACGCAACCACCUUUUACUGUGAGAAAAUCAGAGUGCUCAAAGCAGGCAUUUGCCGUGAAUGUAUUAGCAUGGAAUAAUAGAAUAGGACUUGGUUCUAUUUUGUUGGUUUGUUGGGACUGAGUAAUGAUUAAGAGGGACAGUUGGGGGCAUUUGUAUUUCGGUGCUAGAGGUGAAAUUCUUAGAUUACCGAAAGACAAACUGCUGCGAAAGCGUCUGCCAAGGAUGUUUUCAUUGA